rnacentral:rRNA from 1 species
AUUGAACGCUGGCGGCAGGCCUAACACAUGCAAGUCGAGCGGAUGGAGGGAGCUUGCUCCUGGAUUCAGCGGCGGACGGGUGAGUAAUGCCUAGGAAUCUGCCUGGUAGUGGGGGAUAACGUCCGGAAACGGGCGCUAAUACCGCAUACGUCCUGAGGGAGAAAGUGAGGGAUCUUCGGACCUCACGCUAUCAGAUGAGCCUAGGUCGGAUUAGCUAGUUGGUGGGGUAAAGGCCUACCAAGGCGACGAUCCGUAACUGGUCUGAGAGGAUGAUCAGUCACACUGGAACUGAGACACGGUCCAGACUCCUACGGGAGGCAGCAGUGGGGAAUAUUGGACAAUGGGCGAAAGCCUGAUCCAGCCAUGCCGCGUGUGUGAAGAAGGUCUUCGGAUUGUAAAGCACUUUAAGUUGGGAGGAAGGGCAGUAAGUUAAUACCUUGCUGUUUUGACGUUACCAACAGAAUAAGCACCGGCUAACUUCGUG